AGAGUCCACAUAUGUUCGGGGGAGGGACCCCAGAAGGCGGCUGACAGUAUUCCUUUAGCCAGAAAUCCCUUCAGGGAAGAGAAAGUAUUUUCCAGAAAAUAUUUCAAGCAGAAUAUACUUAUUUUCCAGUUUUGAAAACAACUAGAUUGCCCAUCUCCAUUUCUCUCUAUCAUCUACUGUAUUAUUCUAUGGACAACUGCCACCCUAAUAAGGUCAAGAAGGGAAGCCAGAAGUCAAGGCCACAGAAGACACAGGAAACAUCAUUUCCAAAGUGGGAGACAAAGCUGUUAACAGGAAAUUAUUUGUAAAGUCAAGAGCCAAGCAAAACAGAAAAAGGACAAGAAAUCUAUCACCUUAUUCAUUAGGUGAAUUGACUACAAAAUGGACUGCACUGAAAACACAUCACAUGAUUUCAUCGAGGAGAUAGGAAACUUGAAUCCUUACUAAUGAGAAGGAAAGAUUAGUUAUAAAUAAAGAACAUAUAGCCAGCUACAUUACAUUCCUAGAUGCCUGAGUUUCUAUCAAUAGUGCAAUUUUUUGAUGAAACACAUAGAAAAUAUCAACAUGGCAAACUCUGAGAUGUUACCUGGCGCCCUUCCACCAAAAAGGAUUUCUACCUCCUUUUCAAGACUGAUUCAUCUCUAGUUCACAAACAAUCUAGCACUGAAAUAUUUCAGGUACCCACUCCUCUGAGGUCAUUGUAAAAGCGAAGAAUGAGACAACACCAUAUAAAAGAAAAUUGUGUCACCUUUUCAGCAAAUAAAAAGUUCAGUCUCAA
rnacentral:lncRNA from 1 species